rnacentral:lncRNA from 1 species
UUCACAUCUUCACAUCUGUAUGCUUUUCUUUAUAAUUUUAUUUUUCUCACUUUUCUUCAUGCUUCUUGAUUCGUUAAAUUCUAAAUUUUUUUACAGAGACAAUGAAAGAAGAAGAAGAAAGAAGAGUUGAGGAAAAACAGGAAAAUCAUGAUCAAGAGGACUAUCUCAAUCUAUUCGCAUAGUAGCAAUCAUCUGACGAAGAAAUUGAGGAGGAGGAUGAGUUUGCCAAUGAAGAAGAAAAUGAGGAGGAGGAUGAUUUUACCAAUGAGGAAGAGGCUGAUUAGAAGAUUGACUACAUAAAUUCUCAGUCUCUUAGAUCAAAUUUGAAGUGUCAAUUCAGAUGCACGAGGAAAAAAUAGAAUGAAGAAGCUGCAGAUUGCUGUACUUCAAAGUGGGAGGCUGGUUUGUGUUUAAGCCAUUACUCUUAUAUAUAGUCAACUUAUGAAAGUCUUCUUCUUCCUUUUGUGUUUACAUGUGAGGAUCGAACUUGUGGUGUCAUGUGAGUAAUCACCCAAGUACUGUACUGACUGAUUAGUGAUUACUUACGUACUUGACUUGUUUGUUAUUCUCAUUUUCAAUCCGAU